GUCUAUGGCUAUGCCACCUUGAAUGUGCCUGAUAUUGUCUUAACUCAGAAGCUAAGCAGGGUCAGGCAUAGCAAGUACUUAGUAUUUGAAAGGGAGAAUGUUCACUUAAUCAUCAAAAAUGUAUGCGCUGAACCUU
rfam:Neotoma lepida isolate 417 scaffold_2230, whole genome shotgun sequence.